ACGGGCCCGCACAAGCAGCGGAGCGUGUGGUUUAAUUCGAUGUUACACGAAGAACCUUACCAGGGUUUGACAUGCAAGUGGUAGGAAUCCGAAAGGUGACCGACCCUUCGGGGAGCUUGCACAGGUGCUGCAUGGCUGUCGUCAGCUCGUGUCGUGAGAUGUUCGGUUAAGUCCGCUAACGAGCGCAACCCUCGUCGUGUGUUAUACGUGUCACACGAUACUGCCGGUAUCAAGCCGGAGGAAGGUGGGGAUGAUGUCAAGUCAGCAUGGCCUUUAUAUCCUGGGCUACACACACGCUACAAUGGCAGAUACAAUAGGUUGCGAAACCGCGAGGUGGAGCCAAUCCUCAAAGUCUGUCUCAGUUCAGAUUGUAGGCUGCAACUCGCCUGCAUGAAGUUGGAGUUGCUAGUAAACGCAGGUCAGCUAUACUGCGUUGAAUACGUUCCCGGGGUUU
rnacentral:rRNA from 1 species